UCCAUUUGAGCUGUGCUCAGUUCCCAAAGCUGAUAAAUCACCCUUCUCAUCCAGACCACCCUCUAGCUCUCCUACCGAAGUCUAAAUACCCCCGUGGCCUUUUCAAUUGUGAUGCCUGCAACCGCCGUGGAGAUGGCUUCAGCUACCACUGCAGAGAAUGUGAAUAUGAUCUCCAUGUGACCUGUGCAUCAAAACCUCUCAAAAUUACACAUCAACUGCAUCAAUGCCAGCUGGAACUCACCUUCAAGAAUCCUUAUCCUGAUGCCAAAGGCUUCUCUUGUGAUGUAUGCCAAAAGAUUGGAGUCAAGCAGUGGCUUUAUAGAUGCAGCACUUGCGACUUUGAUGUUCAUCUGGAUUGUUCAAAGUUUGUCCCAACAUCAGCAGUUCAAG
rnacentral:lncRNA from 1 species